AGAAACUUAGGUUAAACAUUAAACCAAGAGCCUUCAAAGCCCUAAACAGAGGAAGAUCACACCCCUAGUUUCUG
rnacentral:tRNA from 1 species